UGGGGAAUAUUGCACAAUGGGCGCAAGCCUGAUGCAGCCAUGCCGCGUGUAUGAAGAAGGCCUUCGGGUUGUAAAGUACUUUCAGCGGGGAGGAAGGGAGUAAAGUUAAUACCUUUGCUCAUUGACGUUACCGACAGACGAAGCACCGGCUAACUCCGUGCCAGCAGCCGCGGUAAUACGGAGGGUGCAAGCGUUAAUCGGAAUUACUGGGCGUAAAGCGCACGCAGGCGGUUGAUUGAGUCAGAUGUGAAAUCCCCGGGCUUAACCCGGGAAUUGCAUCUGAUACUGGUCAGCUAGAGUCUUGUAGAGGGGGGUAGAAUUCCAUGUGUAGCGGUGAAAUGCGUAGAGAUGUGGAGGAAUACCGGUGGCGAAGGCGGCCCCCUGGACAAAGACUGACGCUCAGGUGCGAAAGCGUGGGGAGCAAACAGG
rnacentral:rRNA from 1 species